rnacentral:lncRNA from 1 species
GGCUUAAAUUAAAAUAUUGUUUGUUUGCCCUUUACCGACCGACCCUAUAAAUUCGUUCCGCCUGAAAAUCUUUUAUUUAUGUUUACCAGCAAGAUUUUAUUUUAUUUUAUUUUUUGUUCCUACCAAAAAUCUUAUAUUUGUAUUUCCCGCUCAAAACUUUUUUACCGGAAUUCUCAGGUUUUAUCUUUCCUGUAUAAGGUCUAGUCCGUUUGGUAUCACAUGAGCGUUUGACAUGAAUGAACACUUGCAUUUGGAGUUUCAAAGCAUUUGUUUGAAAUCGAUGUUGAAAGCUUUGAAAUCAUGAUUUAACGAACGUUACUCUGUGUCUUUAUACACGAAGAGCAGGGUUCAUUCAAAAAAAGUUCGUCCAAUACUAAAUUAUCAACGUGUGUACAAAAUAUUUUGUAAACAGACUUUGUAUCCUAUGUAGGGAUGGCCUUUGGUGGUCUGUAGAUUAGGAUGAUUAUGUUAAUGAUGCCUUCGACCAGCAUUGAUAUAUUCUGAUUUAUAUCUGACAUGAACCAAAGGUCUGUAAAGGGGAGAAUAUUUGGCAGUAAAAUCGCCAAGUUUUUCCAUACAGAUCAUUUAUAAAUGCGGUGUAAAAUACGUGACAAUUGAGUUUCAAGUCUUGUAGCAUUUUUAUUGGAAACACAGGCACACACAAAAAUUUAAACACUCUAGGGACUUUUUCUACUAGUAAUGUACAAUGUAUUUAUGCCCGGACAUAUUUUACCAGAACAAAGUUAUUUCUUACCUGCUUACAGAAAAACUUUAGGUUUGAACCUUGAAGUAAGCGUUCAAGGUACAGAGUACUAUUAGUGCAAGUUAAAAUUCUUAAAAAUUCCAGGUAUGUAAACGUUUAAAAUAUGCCAAACAGCCCUAUUUUUUGAAAAAAAGUUGUAGUGCAUAUGAAUUAACUUCACAUUCUACAUGAUAUUUUUUUUUCAAAACUUGGGACUAUUAUACUAAUAGUCCUAGAAACUUAUUAGCAAAAGCAUACUUAAGCAAAAGCAAUACAGACAAAAAUGACAUCAUGCAGAUUUUGUAUCUAUAAAAUAAAAUAUUAUACCUACCUGCC